CCUCCUCACUCUAUAAAUAGAACUCCAGAGCCUCCCUCUUUUUCAAUCAAGCCAAUGCCUAAGUUCUCUUCAAACUUUUCUCUUUCUCUCUCCCUCUUCCUCUUCUUCAUAAGUCUAGGGGAGGUCUAACCCUAGCACAACAUAUUCUUUCAUAGAUCCCUUUUCCACAUCCGAUCAAAUCUAGGAGAGGUUCUAAUCCUAGUGCUGCUACCCUUUCUCUGUUACAUAUCCGCUUCCAUCAACCUUUCUUCCUUAGAGUUCCUGUACCAAGCCUUCCAGCCAUCCUGUCGCUGUCUGCACGGAGGAAGACGAAGGAUUCAAGGAGACACAUCCACCAUCGGGCGCAGCAAGAAGAUCAACUUGGUUUAGUUGUCUUGUAUCGCAAUUUUAUUUCUUUUCUUUAUGUAUGCUUCUUUAUUAGAUUAAUGAAAAGUAAUUUU
rnacentral:lncRNA from 1 species